UACGUAGGGUGCAAGCGUUAAUCGGAAUUACUGGGCGUAAAGCGUGCGCAGGCGGUUUUGUAAGUCUGUCGUGAAAUCCCCCGGGCUCAACCUGGGAAUUGCGAUGGAGACUGCAAGGCUAGAAUCUGGCAGAGGGGGGUAGAAUUCCACGUGUAGCAGUGAAAUGCGUAGAGAUGUGGAGGAACACCGAUGGCGAAGGCAGCCCCCUGGGUCAAGAUUGACGCUCAUGCACGAAAGCGUGGGAGCAACAGGAUUAGAUACCCU
rnacentral:rRNA from 1 species